rfam:Dipodomys ordii contig_58329, whole genome shotgun sequence.
UGGGAUGUAGCUCAGUGGUAAAGCGCUUGCCUAGCAAGCGCAACGUCCUGGGUUCGAUCCCCAGUACCAA